UUUUUUUUUUUUUUUUUUUUCAAGUCCUGCUUGAUCCUUUGCGUUUUAGGAGCACUUGGCUUUGGCUAGUCCAAUUCUCAGGCAGACUUAACCACACUAUAUUGAGUUAAUCCACCCAAUCUCUCCUAGAAAGAGUAGGUUGGUCACUAAAAAACUGCAUUUAUCCAGUACCCCUAAGUACUUUGUCAGGUUCCAACUAGUGAGAAAAAGGAAUCAAAGGACAAAUUGAUGUCAGACGAGAAAAUGGCAGUGAAGCAAAAAAAGGUGAAAAGAAUGCAAUAGCACUCUUCAAAGUUCCAAUCAACCGUUCGACAUCAAACGCAGUACCGCUGCUUUUUCGAGGAUUUAUAGCCUCAAGCUUAGUUAUCAUCAGUGUCCCACGGGAAACAUGUAAUAAACGGUCUUCUCAAAUAGUAAUAGUAUCUUCUGCUAAGGUCUAAAAUUGUCCACAAAACAAACCACAGUGACAUUUUAACAACUGUUUGAGCGAUUUUGCAUGUAUGACAUGAAAUGUGAAAUCUUCUGCUAAGGUCUUGAGAUUGUCCAAGGUCCAAAGAACAGGCCACAGUGACAUUUUAACCACUCUUUAAGCGAUUUUGCAUGUAUUACAUGAAAUGUGAACGAGGACAUAGAGACAUACAGGAUUCCUGUGGACCAGCAUGACUUGGCUUGCUUACCAUCGGGUAAAAGGAAGCAACUCCAGUUUUCUUCGAAAUGACUAAAACUGGGAUAUAAUUUCUACUUAUGUGCAGACAGGUUGGUCCGUAUACCUAACGGUCUGCAAUGUUAUGUAGCAUGCAUGAAGGACAUUAACUUUUACCAUACUUUCUUUGUUCAAGGAAUCUUGGUUUGUCUCUUUUUUUUUUUUUCAAGAUGAUAACUGUUGUAUAACCUGUUUUAUCUUAAACUACAGGAAAUGAGAAGUUUAAAGAGACUUGUAUCAGGAAUUAGCAGGCACACAGACUUACUAGACUAAAGGAGUGUUUUGGCACAACACUUGAAUUUUUUUCGCUGCAGUAAGAUUUGAAUCCCCAUUUAUAGCCCAAGGAGACUGCCACUAAGCCAAUCUUAGUGGUUAAGGAAUCUUGGUUUGUCAUUGUCUCGAAAUCGAAAUCAACGAAAAUGUGGGAGCCUGGGUUGGAAUCAAUUAGCUUACGUGUAAGAACUGAUUGGCGAAAAGUUUCCAUGUCAAAAUCAAAAUUCUUUCAACGAUAUAGUUGCCAGCACGUUAAGUAACCUAAAUGCUCUAACUUCCAAUUUUCAUCAGCCUUUAGCGUGAUGUGAUGUAAAACGAAUAAUUCAGGAAAAAUAGAGAACUUUAACUUUUCUUGCACGCAAGUGUACAUUUGGUUCUCCAAUUAAGUACACAGGAAAGAAAGACUUUUCAUUCUCUGCCUUUUGAAAUCCUCAAAAGUUGCCGUCCUUGGCAUGCUGAACAUAGUCGUCCUAGGUAAUCUUUCCAUGGAAGAUCUCGUACACUAUAACUUUAAAAUGUCAAUUUUAUGACACAUACGAAUCAGGAUCCUUGACUUCUGAUAGCUCAAGAAUUGAUAUGUAUGCCAUUGAGUUGUUUGAAUGAUUAUACUUCUUCUCCUGCCUACUGCAUAACGCCUCUAUUUCUCACCUCGUUUCCUGCUAGGACCAUCCAACAGCCCGGGCUCUGCAGAUGGACCUAAGAGUCUUUAUAAGAGUCAAUCUGGAAGUUUAUACAUAUAUGAGACGUAGAGAAGAUGAUAAGAAGAAAUCAUGAUGGCAAGAAAUUGUUAAUCCCCUUAGGCUGAGAGACAAAAUAUAUUAGCUCUACAAUCAAUCAAAGCCUUUUUUUUUUCCCAUUUAUGCAACACAUCAUUACACCAUUAGGCUCUACAAUAAGCACAAAGCAACAAAAAGGAGGUAAAUACCAUCUAAACUUGCAUUUUUUCAGUCAGACUCCAAUUUUGCUUGGCACCUGAAAUAUACUUCAGAAUAAUAAAUAUGCCCUUUGUCUGGCAAGUCUGACGCACAUUACAUUUAUGCUAAAGUUCAAUUACACAAUUAAAUAGACGCUUUCCAUCUGAUGCAUUGUUGCAAAAUAGUAAAUCAAGUACAAAAUUGAAUCAGCCCAAGCACAAUCUAACAAAGGGGAAAUUUCCAUGUACAAACCCAAACUCGCUAAUCUACAGGAAGCAGCACUUGGGAAAACAGAAUAACCCCAAUGCUGACAUCAAUCAAUAUAUUAAGGUCAUCGGUUCAGCACUGUUUGAAUAGCAUUCUGUUGAGCCGUAGUUAAACUCUGCAAAUUGAGUUAUACAGGGUUCAGUGAAACAGCAUAAAAUUAUAGUCUGCUUAUGUUUAGCAAUAGUAUUUUCAAUGCUAACCAGACCUGCAGAAGGUUAUUAAAAAAUGGCCUAUUGUUCUGAGAGAAGUUGACUAAGAAGUCCACAAGAUAGUUGACCAGAUUAAUCUGCCAAUAUCGAGCGAAAGAAAUAAGUUUAAAUUAAGAAGGGCAUACUUUUAACCAUAUAUGAUAGUUAUAGAGCGCAGAUUUGCACCUCAUUAAGGGGGUCAGCACCACUGAGGAACUCAUCUUCACAAUCCUCAUCAUCCUGCACCAUCACACGAAACCAAAGUAGCCAAGAAUCCAGUCAAACAGAUGUACAGAAAUCAAUCAUUCAGAACACAAGAAAGCUGCAGCCAAUCAGUGAAACCUCAUUGAAAGCCUUUGCCAUUGCAUCAAGAUACUUAUGUGUAGGUCUACUAUGUGAUGUGGCACUAGCUGAAUAAAGCAACUCUUGAUCAAUCCCAGCAUCUCCAGUCUGAACCUCCUCCCAAUCACUAUCCUGAAAUGCCAAUUAGAGCAGGAAAAUAAAUUCCAAUUUAAACAGACAUCACGGAACCAAUACAAAAUUUACUUCAUAAAUACCUCUUCAUCAUCAUCCACAACUUGUUCAUGAAUUUCAAUCAGAGCAUCUGCCAAUAAAGCUAGUAUCUGAUAUUUUGAGUAAAAAGAUGGGGUCAAAUUAUUGAACCACAAAUAAACCACUUUGGUGUACAUUUACAAAAAAGAAUACGUUUCCACUUCCACUACUUCAUUACCUAGUUUUCCUACUUGCUUUCCUGUCAUAAAAGUUUAAGCAUAUACAAAGUUUCGAAAUUCAAAAUUAAGAAUAAAGGCAGUUGCCUGCUAUCAAUGGAAAGAGUAAAUAGCAUGAUCUAACAACAAAAGCGAAAUGAAAGACUAGAUUUAACUGACUGGAAUCUGCAUCCCAAUUAUUCCAGAGUCAGAGUCUUAUUCUUAGACAGAAGACACAAUAAGCUGCAAAAUGCAGGCAAAAAGGGUUAACAAAGUGACUUUGCAUGGAAACAUGCAACCAUAAUCACCAAUAUUACUUCUAAUCUCGAAACUAUGUAUCUCCUACAUAUAUGUUUAUCCCUAAACAUAUAACACCAGAAAAAAGUAUAAUUUUUGUAAGACUUUUUUUCCUGCUUUGCAUUUUGAUGGUCCACAAAAGUGCAAAGCCCCAUACCCUCAUGCUUCCAAUCUAACACCACUAGCUGGUCACAUAGCAUCAGAAUGUGAUUGGUUUAAAAAUUGACUUUUACAACUAUAGUGAUUGGAACAAGAAAUCACAAUGCACAUUCAUUCACAUUUCUGACAUCCGGACCAAAAGUUUAUCCACCCAAGAAGCAUUUUUGGUUGCAGAUAGCAUAGGAAGUACCUUUGCAGGAAGCGGCAUCAGUGUCCAGUGAUCUGGAGCUAGUUUAGCUCUUGAACGAGUAAUUAUUCCUGCAUUAGACUUCAAUUUUCAUAUGAAGCUGAUUAAGAUCUUGAACAAUGUCUCUAAGUGCAUGUGCUAGGAACAAAUUUAACCAACCUUAACUAGGUGGCCCUGGACAUCAAUCUUUUCCAAUUCAGCAUGCCUGGUGGAUAAUAGCAAAGCCAAUGCGGUGGUGGUUACUUUGAUCUGGUAUGCCCCCAAAAUUUCCCCUGAAUUAAAUAAAGCAUAAACUCAUCAGUUGGUUACUUGCUUCUGUACAUCUAUUCCUAGAAAAAUAUCAACAGGCUAUCAGUCAUCAGUUGGUUUACUACUGCUAUUAAGACAUUACUUCUAGGCAUAUUCCAGACAAACAAAGAAAUGGAAAUAGUAAGAGGCUAUCAUAUCAUUAAUAUUCUUCCUUCAAGCCUGCAAACUUGGUAGUUUACUUUAAAGACACAGAAAUGAAAGGUCGAAGGUUGUUUGUCAUCUAUUAAACAAGAAGGAGAGAAACAAUUUCCUUUAAAGUAUGUCCCAAGGUUUGAUUGAUUCCUAAACAAAAGAACAACUUACAAUACUAUUACUUAGAACCCCUGAGGAUCAGUGUAGUUCUUAUUUUAAUUGGUACAAAAUAAAUGAUCUGAUUAGUAUAACCACCUAGUCCUUGCAAAAAGAAACUGCCAUGUAAGUGCACACCACACGUUACCAUCACCACAGUUAACAGACAUGAACAAUGUAACAAACACUAUUCUCUUCUGCACAUAGUACAAACAAAUAUGCGCAUGCAACAUGAUGAUGACUCUAGCUUAGCUCCUGUUUCCAAAUCUUGAGAGGAGGACAAUAAUAACACUGAGGUACCAGCAGUAUCAAUUCAUGGUUAUUAUGAUAGAUUGCAGAAGAAGGGACAUAUAAAGUAGCUUAACCAAAUAAAAGAAGUCUGUAUCUGAACAACUAAAGAUGCCUGGGCCUGUGAGCAGGAUUAGUCCAAUCUAUCAACUAAACCUACCUUUCCCAUGCUCCCACAUGAUUUUCUGAAACAUGAUAAACUGAAUCUCAAAGCACUCAAACUACCAACAUAUCAUAUCAACAUGAAUCAUAAACCCACUGCCUUCUCAUUCUAUUUAUCAGCCCAAGAUUCAGCAAUUCAUCUAAACACAUCAUGGACAAUGCCUAAUUCCAAAUUCAUUAAUAAGGCAAGGCAACAUGCAAUUACUCUGGGACGAUAGACAUACAAGCUAUACAAGAAUAUCUGUACCAAACAAUGUGAAGAAGGCAAGCCUAUACACUCACCUUGCUGUCUAGUCCACUCAGACAUCACAUAAGCAAAGGAGUUUUUAUGGCCUUCAGCUGGAAUUGAGACCAGCAAAUCAAUAAACUUUUCAACGUUUGGGAGACUCAUAUGGGCCUGCACAGAAAAAUGUCUGAUGACCAUAGCUGCAGUUACAAAGUAGAUACUGGAAGCAAAAGAGACAGCACAAGUAAAAAUGGAAAAUGAACAAAUGAAAAAAAAAAGUUCAUGCAUAAAAAAGCUGACAAGCUGUAAUUUGACUGAAAAUCCAAUAAACAGAGAUAAGCAAAAUGUUUGAAUUUGAGCUUCCAUGGUGCAAGGGUCCAUUAUUCAAUUUUAAUAUGCCAAAAUUGCAUGUGAGAAACUCAAUUGUGUUGAAGUCCUAAAAGUUCAGAAGCAGUAUCAUUGCCUAAACUAAAGUCAAGAAAAGUGUUUCCUACCAGUCUAGCAAAAAUAAGGAGCAAUGAGCUUCUGAGUCCAGCAAUCUCAGAAGACUGCAUGCGCCUAAUAAGAGCAACAACCAGGUCUCUGAUAUGCAAUGCCAUUUGUGAAGGAAGAUGUAGGAUAAGUUGCAAAAUGAAAGAGCCAACAAAGAGUGAGCCAGAGCUUUCAAGAUUAGGAUCUAGCAACCUGCAAACAGAUUCUAACCAUUAGUUAACCCAAAACCAAGUACAGUAAUACAACAUAUGAUGGAUAAUCCCACCCUCUCCCUUUAGCCCAAUCUUCUUUGACAAGCAAAGAGGUAGCAGAGUAAUAAGUAACUCAGUGUUCAUAUUAUUUGGGUCUACCCACUAAAAACAAGCAUCAUAAUGGGAAAACAUCAUCACAAGUGUGUCCUGAUCAAUAAUCUCGCUUGACAAUUCAGGGCAAUCAAAUAAUCCUUUCAUGCUGAAAUCAGUUUCCAAUUGAUAGAAAGUGUCAUAGAUAGCAAGUUAGGCUAAUAGAAUUUGUUAAAACACAUUAGGGAAGAUAAAAAGUCACCCAGUAAAUGUCCUCUUCCUGAGUAGUGAAUAUUUGCACUUUCCUUUGAAGCUAGAGUGAACACACAAAACUGCAGAGAAAAGAACGUUGAUGGAAAAAUGAAAAGUAGAGAAGACAUAAAAUAUUUCUUAAUCCUCAAUGCAGAUCUGAAACUGUUGCAUCAUUGAUUCAAUAAACAUGAGAACAGCUCUCGUGCUCUGGAUAAGUCAACUUCAAAACAUGGACAUUCCAAUGAAGAGGUAGAAAAUGAAAGAAUCAAGAGUUCAUUGUCAUGUUCAAUCGGAAUUCUAGCACAAGAAUGAAGAAACAGAAAUUUGAAGCUUCAUCAAGAAAAAUAAAAUAGAAAAACAAACAGCGAAGUACCUUGAAGCUACAUCAAGCAAACUUCUCAUUGCGAACGCAGGAUCUCCACCCCACAUAAGUAAUUCUUCUUUCCCACCGGAAACAAGGGAUGCCAAGCACUGAGUUGCAUUCUGAUAGCAUUUAAGGCAACAAGAACUCGUCAUUUUCUAAAUUUGCUGCAAAAAAACCACUGAAAGUGUAGAUGUUCUAAGAUUGUACCUAAACAAGAAAACUGGGGAAAAAAUGAAGUAGCUAAUGAAAAGAACCUGCAUCUCACUAUGGUCAUCACUUUGAAGGACUAUUCGAGUGAUGGAAUCAAAAGAAACUUCAAAAAUUGCUCGUACAACAUCACUAGGAGCAUUCUGCAAAUUUAGUGUCUUUAGCAACGAACUUAAUGCAAAAAGUUUCAUUAAAAGCGAGGAUCUCCUAUAACACUUAAAUUAGAUUUAAACAGAACAGAUGAGCAAAAGUUGAACUCACCUUUAAUAACAUUGUCAGAAGAUCAAGAGAACCAGCAACUAAACCAUCCGGCUGCUGAUGUGGCUGCCAAUGGUCAACAAGUAUCAUUCAAUGCAAAGUACUGUAGAACCAAUAAGAUCUCAAUGUAAUAUUGACAGAAAGUAAAUCAGAGCCUACUUUAUUGAGAAUUGGUGUAGUAUAGGGUAAAACACGAGAAACUAAGGGAUGGAUACAACCAGGAGCAUUCUUUAUGGCCUGCAGCAGAAAACAGAAAGACAUAAUUAAGUGAUUGAGUAAACAUAAUGGACAGAGUGGGAGAUGAUACACCUCCACGCUGAUAUACUCAUAAAUGCUGCUCUUAAGCUGAACACAUUCUGAAGGGUGAAAUAUAUUGAUUGGGAUUCAUAACUAAGCAUCCGGAAGGGGGGGGGGUAAGAUGAAAAUACUAAUUUGUUCAAAAAAAUUAAACAUCCCCUUAAUUCUUCAAACUGAAAAUGGAAUAUAGAGAUGAUGGUUAGCCAUUUGCACAGCUCUUCAGUCUAUUCUUUGGUGAAUCAUACAUGUUUCUGUAUUCUUUCACAACUAGCAUAAUUACUUGUCUAAUUCUCAAGUCUACAGUACAUAGAAAGGGAAGCAAGCAUUGGUUUUUGCCAGGUCUCUCCUGAAAAUAGCCUCAUUAACCACUGAUGAGGAAAGUCACUGAAGUUUCAACCAGAAAGUUCCACUUCACAGCCUUUUCUUUAACUCACUAUCGUGAUUCUAUCACCCAUCUAAGAUAAAAAAUAAUAAUAAUUUUAAAAAUAUAGAUGGCAAAAUUCUGAAACGAUAGAUAACAUGACAUAAGAUUAUAGAUAUGUUAGACACAUGUUGCUUAAUGUCUAGCACUAAAAUGUCAAACCAAGAUACAGGUCUGAUAUGAAAACUUAAUAAGCAGCUAAACUGUCAAAACGACUGAGGAUUCCAUAUACUUCAAAUGACGCAACAUCAAAGUCUAUCAAAUUCUUUGUGCAAAAAACAUCAAAUCACUGAACUUCUGUGAAAGAUGAUGAUGCUUUCCAGACACAGAAGAGCGGAAGGGAUCAAAUUCCAGAGGUUUAGGAACUUCAGUUUUGAAAGAUUUUGGGAACCAUUCAAACAAGUUCCCACUGCCUGUUUGUUGAUUUGAACUCUUAUCCCACAACUGAAAGCAUGAACUCCUUAACAAAAGAAACAAGUGAAAAUUCAACAAUUCCUCAUUGGUUUAUAGUUUAAAAUGAAAAUUUCUCCAGUAGAGCAAUGUCAGCUUAUCUUUGUAUUCAAGUUUUACUAAAGCAACAAUCACCAAGAUCUUCAUAAAAUGACCAUCAAAGAAGACUGAAGACAAGAUUUAGAUAGACAGGAUCAAUAAAAGGAAAGUGGUGCAACCCAAAAAAUGAUUUUAUCAGAAAAUUUAAGUUUUUUAUUUCAGUUACAGCUCAAGGGUCAUAUCAUGCACCAAAUUGCACCCCUUGUGUAUUAAACAUAAAACACGAAUAACUUCCAGAACCAAAGGCAAAUGGGAAAAUCACCUCCAAAACCUCAAUUGCAUCUAUGCUGAUGAAAGGGUCAGAAACAUGUGAAGCCCACAUGGUAAGAAUAAUUGGAGAGAGAACAGGUUCUAUCGAAACUAAUGCUUUAUGACCUGAAAUUUAUGACAAUGCAAAAUAAAGGCAGGAAAUAAAUGGAGAUCACUGAAGAAAUCUUAGGGGAAUAAACACUAUAAGAACACAACUCGUUUCAAAAUCAACCUGCCGUAGCUGCUGCUCGUAAUGUUUCAAGUACUAGAUGCAUGGUUUCAUCGGAGGCCUAAUAAAGCAGAUAGCAACUGUAAGAUGCAGCUUCAACAUUAAUGAGAAACAUCCCAUCGUGUCUACCAAAAAAGCAGUAUUGUAAAAGUGCAACUGCUGCAUUGCCUGGUUAAGUAGAUUGGUGAGUGAUGAAAAUAACUCCAAUAUAAGAGGCUGAAGCACUUCACUUUUUACAUCAGGCAAAAGCUGCGAGAGUGCACGACAGGCACCAACUUUCACAGGUGGGGGCCUAUAAAUGGAGAAGUAUAGUCAAGUUAUAAUUUGAAAGUUGGUCCCAUAGUACAGAAAGAUAAGGCAAUCAGGUAAUCAGGUUCUUACACAUCCAUGCCAACUGCCUUGAUACCAGCAACUAAGAAAUGCUCUACAACAUUACUUUUGAUCUGAAGAACACAGGAGUUAAAUGAGGUCAAAUAUUCCACUACACCGGAAAAGGGAAAAUAAACAGGACCAGUAGUUACCACAGAGGAGAACUUUGCAACUGCUGAAAACAGACGAGCAUAAAGAAAAGGAUACUCAUGCACCCCUGCAAGAUAGACAGCAAUAUCAACUCAAUAGGGUUAGACCUACAUACUCCCAACCCCGCCUCCAAAAUAAGAAGAACUCUGCCACCAACCAAAAAAAAAAUUAUCUUGUGUAUAUAUUUGUACAUGUGUGUGUAUACACACACUUGUAUGUUAACAACCAAUUCACUGCAUUGACAUUAUUUCUCCUUUAGUCCGACGGCUAGCAGAGACACCAUUCUAUUGAUCUUUCGCACCAUGGGGUGAGAAUCUAAUUCCAUAUUCAAGAAAGAGUAGUACAUACUGCACAACAGAACCUACCUGUUGCCAUGUCUUCUAUGAAUAUUUGCUCCAUAACAUUUCCUAGACUGACUUCUGAAACUCCAGAAUCCUGCAAAGUAGGAAAUGAGCGAUUCAGAGACUAGAUGCAAUUUUAUAGCCCAAUUUCCUUUCUUUUGUUGAGUUUGCUAAUUUGACAGGUGCCCUUAUUUGCUUAUAUCAGAAGGCAGAUAUAAUCAUAUUACUUCAUGUUGUGCUCUUAUAAAACAUCUGUUCUUAUCAUAUUUAUAAAAAUGUAAAGAAGCUUAAGCACAAACCUCAGCCUCAAGCAAAUGUUCUGAUACAGCAGACAGAGCAUAAAGGGUAGCUUCGCGCAUCUGCAAAAUUCAUUUCUCAGGUAAGCUAAACAUGUACUCUACAUUUAAAAAUCAACUUAAGUAGUUCCACGUUUGUCCUCGGAAAAAACAGGCAUCGAAAGAGAAAAAGUUUGACACUUGCACCCACUAUAACUAACCGGCAAAAAAUGUUAACCAAUAAACAAACCACUAUUAAAAGGAUUGAUAGUGAUAAACAAGUAGAUGUCAUUACAGACCAUGAUCAGAAACCAGCAAAAUAAAUCAACAACUUUUUAUAUUACAUGUCAUCUUACUAGAACUGGAACACUAAAGUAGCCCCAUCAUAGGACUCAAGCAUGCUUUUUUCCGUUUAAUAGAUAAAUACUACCCAUAUGCCGUAUCCUAAAGCAAUUAACAGCAGCAUGAGACAUAGGAUCAGUUACAUCAGAUCACUACACAUAAAAGCUCUCUCCUAUCCAAAACUUUCCUCCCCAUUUGACCUAAAAGAGAAGCACAGUGCAAAAUCAUACAAAAUCACUAACUAAUCACAGCUCUAACAUAGUCUAAUAAGGGAAGUGGGGGAAAAAACACAAAGAUUUGUCUCAAUCGAGUAUCCAAAAGGGUUAAGUGCAGCCAUCAACAAGGCAUUCUAGCAAUUAGAAAAGUAUUAGCAAAGUACAUUGAUGAGUAUGUAACAAACCACUUACAUUGAUGAGUAUGUAAAAACACAAAGAUUUGUCUCAAUCGAGUAUCCAAAAGGGUUAAGUGCAGCCAUCAACAAGGCAUUCUAGCAAUAGAAAAGUAUUAGCAAAGUACAUUGAUGAGUAUGUAACAAACCACUUACCCUCCACCAACUAGCAGCACCAGCAGCUUUCUCUGCUUGGGACUCUCUAAAUCUUCUUUUUGCAGAAUCAAGCACAGCAUCUAUGCCCAAAGCACCAAAAGAACUAAUCACCUCCUCAAUGAGAAGUGCACCUAGAAAGGAUUGAACAAUUAGAGAGAGACUUGUUAUAAGAGCUCCAAUUGGCCAAGAACAAGAGAAUCACAGCAAUCUACGUGACCAAGGUCAAGGAGUAUCAAGAAUUAUGGUCAAAUUAAAAAGGUAACACAUUAUUUAUACAGACUAAUGUAUUUGAAAAUGACUAUCUAGGGCUUCAGAAUCCAUUACCUACUUAAAGAAGGGGAAAGAAAAACCAAUUUCUUCAGUAGGUUAUUUUUAAACUCCAGAUAAGCAAAUUAAGUUAUCAUCACACGUAAAAUAAGUAUACUUCCACUAUCAUCUUUUCCACAUCCUUACCCAAAAAAAAAAAAAAAUUCUAAACAAAAGCCACAGCUGAUUUUCAUAUAGUUAUCUCUGAAUCCUAAUAUUUGAUUAUCCCAGCAAAACUACUUUUCAGGAAUACCUACCAUAUGCAAAACCAAGACAUGGAUCGAAAUAUAGUUUCCAUGACAUGAAGAGCAAUAUGGUUUCCAUUACAGAAGAUGAUACAUAAAAAUUACAUCACCACAGCGUAUAUGCACAUCACUAAGAGUCUAGGACGCUAAGGAAACUCUGAGCUUGUUAGGAGAAAAAUUUGUGCUAACGCGACUAAGAAACAACACCAACUUUGCCCUCUACUGAACUUCUCUCAGAAUUGACUCUCUGCAAAAGGAAGGGAUAAAAAGAAAGGAAUAAUUUCUCUCAAGUUUUGCCUUUCUCAUGCUAAAACAUAGAACACUGAUCAUCUAAAUGAUUUUCAGUUUUGUUUAAUAAACGAAAACAGGUAAAGAUGGUGUCUGAACUUAGGAGUCCUAUCUAUACUAGCGAAUGACCACAACCAAAUCCCCUGCACAAAAGUUUUAAUUGAAUUAGUUGAUUGUGCAAGAAGAGAGGGCAAAUAGAAGCAAAUCUUCACAUAGUGCAAGGAAGUAAAACAAGUGCAACAGCUACAGCUCACCAGACACACGACAACUAUAAGUGUUGUCAUCCUCAUCAGCGACAUACUGAUUAGCAUCCAGAGACCACGUAUGGACCUAAAGCAAGUUGCAAGAACAUUAUGCAAGAGUAAAACUGACAAGCAGAAGACUAAUUGAACUUCCAGAAAUGACAAUUAGACUGGAGGCAGUAUUACAAACUCGUUUAUGCAAAAAAAUAAGCUGAACAUAUAACAACUACAAGAUGAAGUAACAUAUAUCCCUCGAAGCAGUUUCAACAAAAAUUACAGCAAAAAGCUCUGACACCUGCUCUAUGGAAAUUAACAAGUAAUCCACCGAAACCCGCCCGGCCAUAAUAUGGCAGAUAGAAUGUCUAACUCCAUAGUUCCAGAAGAUACAAAUUUCCAUUCUUUAUAGAAUGUCUAACUCCAUAGUUCCAGAAGAUACAAAUUUCCAUUCUUUAAGGCAUAUAGCAGUUACCAAUUGUAGGGAGUCAUGCAAUACAUGUGAAAUAGAAAUCCAAAAAUAAUCAUCAUUUAACUUCCAAAAACUCAUUUACCAAACUUGCGUGGAGCAAAUUAGGCGAAUUUGUUAGGUCCAGCUGUAAAAGAUAUAUACAGAUUGGAUACUAAAAGUGAACAGAGAAAAUAUCACCUGUUGUUCAGUCAUCUGCAUAAAGGAAACGGUAUAGUACACCAACUCCUUCACAUUAUUUGCAACAACCUGCAUCAAUAUAUUUUUAAGACAUGAAAUCAGAUUACAUGUAGAAAGCAGAGCUGCAGAUCAUAAAUGAUAAAGAAUUUCAAGAAUGACCUAAUAACCACCUCUCCAAACUUCUUGCUACCCACUAUGGUCAACAGGGUCUCAAAUAACUGCAAGUCCAAAUAAGCGGCUUUCAGUCAUGUUGGACAAGAAAUAUGUUAUUAUAUACACCAAAUACCCGGUGAAAAGAGCAAGCAAGAAGGAAGAAGUAAACAGUCAAAAAGCAACAAACAGAAGUUACAACUACUUGAACAAUGCUAUCCUGUAUGGCAUACAAUUAGGAAGGAAACAACUAGAAGAGGAGAAGAAGAAAAGGAGAGAGAGAGAGAGAGAGAGAGAGAGAGAACGAUUUAAGUAUAUUCCUGCUCAACAAGAUUUUUUGCAUACACUUAAAGAAAUAAAUGUACGAAUGAAAACUUAUUCCACAGUCUCAGUCAAAAACAGGUCUAAAGAAAAGGCCGCCGGGGGGGAAGCAGACUCAAUUCAUCGAGCAACUAAAAUGUUCAUCUUCAAAUUUCUUUACACCCAUCAAAAAGACUUUUAUCAGGUUACAGCAGCAGGAGUCCUAGAUCACAUCCACUGAGUACGGAAGUCCUUCUGGUGGAAAAUACCAUUUCCAAUAUAAGCCAGAACAACCAAAGCAAUACACGAGACAGAUGAAAUACAAUCAUCGAUGUAAUCCACAUUAUACAAACUUCAAUAGGAAGAAUCAGACGAGUUCUCUCCAAAAUAAAAUCUUCCAAGUACCAGAAAAGAAAUGAACUGGCAGACUGAAUUUCCAACUAAAAGUCUUGCUUUAAUAGACAAUUUAAACUUGGUCUCCCACCUCGCACUUCCAUACUUGUAGCUCCUUUCUCUUUUCAGCAAUUAAGGUGACAUCAUUUUUUAAACUUCUAUGUUGUCAAGUUUUAAGAACAGAUGCUGAUAGAGCUAAAAAAGACUAUCAUAUUAUCUGGAUAUAUGUAUGUAAGAAUUUCACUCAUCAAACAAAAAAUGUUUGCAGUAGCGAUUCUAUUUAAAAAUUUUAAUACCUAAGUUGCACUAAAAAUGUCAGGAAAAUGAUGCAUAUGCCAUGCCAUGGCCAAUAAUGUGACAUACAAGAUGGUACCAUACAAAGAUGGCAUUAAUUUAGCUUCUCUAGAAAUGAAGGCACUUUAAGAGUACAAACUAUUUCAAGAAAAAAUAGUAAACAAAUCAAGGAGAAAACAUGCAAUCAUAAUAGCAACAUCAAGCUUUAAAAGUUCCUAAGCAUAUAACCUAUAUAAGGUGGGAAGCCAUAAAUUGUAUACUCAAUCCAACCAUUUAGUAUACAUAAAAAUCCUCAUCUUCAUCAGUAUUCAGCUUAUAUUUUAGAAGCUAAGCAUAUCAUAAGCCAUUUACAUACAUAAACCAAGGUAUUGCUCUACUUAAAGAUCAGGAAGCAUAUGGAUGCACUAGCUAUGAGUGCACUGAUGUCACAUAACUUCAAUGUAACUUUAACUAUUUUACAUUUUUACCUGCAUAACAUAGGAUUCUAGGCUUUUCUCCGAACCAUCAGAAUCAUAUCUUCCAUCAUAAGAAUCUUCUGCACCUUCAAUUGAUGCUCGUUCAUAUACUCCUAGUGAAGAUACAAAGGUCUGCCAGAGUGGCCCCAAGAUCACUAAGAUGUCACCACAAUAACAAAAGAAAGAAUCAAAAACCAUAAAUGGAAAAUCACAAAAUUUUUUCUCAAAUUUGGCUAUUGCAAGUAUCAUACUGCUAAACUCAUAUCAAAAUAAGAAAGUUAUACCAGUAAAUUGAGUUUCCAUGAGGCUUGGGAAAUUCUGUAGGAACUGAUUCAAGCACUUCAAAACCUACUUAUAAAAAAGUUUUAAGAUAAUUUCAGGGUUGACCAUUUAAGAUUGAAAUAUUAAAAAAUGAAACGUUAGACGCAUAUGGAGCUGUACCUCCAUUCUGAUGCUCCAGUCACCAGGGUCUUCAGAAUGUACUGGAGGUCUAAGGACAACACAAAACUGAUCUAACCAUAGCUGAAGCAUUUCUGACAUCAAAGCAGUUGUUUCUGCCUAAUUACAGAAACUCACAAUCAGCUAAACAGUUCAAAGGAUUAGAAUUUUAUAAGAGUAGCUUUGAAACUUCAAGAGUAAAAUUCUGAAGAUACCUUAUAUACACCACUCAUACUCCCAAGAACAGAGGUAAAAGAAUAUACUAUGGAAAAAGCCUUUAAGCGAAGGGAUUUGUCAUACACCUGCAUGAAAAAUUCAACUAGUUCCUGAGUAAUACUCAGGGAAAAUUGAUCCCUAAGCUUUAUGCAACAUGCCAAAUUCACAGCUGUCAUUCUGAAUUUUGGAAAAAUAGGUAAUAAGCUAGUUCCAAGUUGUUUACUGUAGAGUAACGUAAUAUUCGAUAAGAAGCAAACUCUAACUUAUAGUAAUUAUUUUUGGGGGAGAGAGAGAGAGAGAGAGACUGUAUCUGGUAUAACUGCAACUUCACUUCUUUCUAACUAUUUAAUAUUUCUGCUGCAUGUUAAACCUAACAGCAGAUGUCAUUGUCAAAAUAUUAAUAUCGCAACAGCAAGCAUAUAUUCUGCCACUUUCCCAUCAUAUAACUGCUUAGUGCACUUGGAUGAAUGGAGAAGGUGGAAAGAGAAGGAAAUGAGGGAGAAAUAAUUGUUUGUACGCCCGCACCAACUGGCAUAAGCAAAUAAUUGUUUAGCCAAAGAUGGAUUUUGAGCCAUGGAAUGAAUCGAGGAACUAAAGAAAAGAUACAGCAGAAGUUGCUCAGAGAGCUAUAAGCAAAGCGCUGGGAAUGGAAAUGCCCGUAGAGGUAGUAGCAAGCGCAGCGCAGUAAGGGUUGGAAAGCCAUUAUGGUGGCCAUAGAUCACUAGCAUGUGAGAAGCAAGCAAUACCAACCUCUGGUACUACUUUUUUCCUCUGAUUUGAUAUAAUAAUAAACUUUUCUACAUAGACUUUUACACUUCUGGUUCAAACAAAAAUUCUUGUUACCGAUUGUCAUGGGUAGUAUAUACCAAAGUCGCUGAACUUCACUCCAGGUCUAGAAUGAUUUUUACAUAAUUAAAAUAAAUCAUUUCAAAAAGAACAAGCCUAAUAUACAAGCAUAAAAUUCCAUUUUGGAGAUUCCAAGAUAUGGUUAGAAUUCUAAAAAUUUCUAGAACAAAAACUAACCUGAGGAGAGGAUAUAAUUGCAUGCAAACAAGGGAAUAAAACAGGCAAGAGUUUUGGCACCAUCUUAUCAUCCAAGUCUGCAGAGAGAAGAGCCAAACAUCUUAAAGCCCCAUGUACUGCACUACACAAAAAAAAAAAAGAUGUCAUAUUCAUCCUCCACGGAGCUGGUUUACCACAACAAAACACAAACAAGAAGCAAAAGCUACUUGAUACAAGUUGUGCGAACCAUACCAGCAUUCACAUUAUUCUGCUCAUUCAUCAGCUUCAAAAGAAAUGGUAAAAGGUCCGGCCAAUCCUCUGGCCAGUCAUAAUGAGCAACAGAUGCAACAGCCACACUAACUGCAGUGCAGAUUUUUUUAUGAGGAUCAUCUACUGAAGCCAGGAGAAGUCUACGUAUCGUGGCCUGAUAAUACAACUUGUAGGAAAUUAGGAACAUGAAAAGAAAAGGCAGAGAUCUGUAAAUCACAAAUAGUUUGCUCAUAAAUAAAGGAAACUAAAAACUAAUAUUGACGGAGUACAAGACGCUAAUCAAAGUGAGCUUCUGUCUCUUCCACUAUAUUUAUCACAUACAUUCCUUAACUAUGAAAUACACAACUCUGGAAUUUUGAGGGUAACAAAAAGUGACAGAGAGACAGAGAGAUAGGAGAACCUUCUCAUCAUUUGAAACAACAGGAUGCUCAAAAGAUUCUUCAUCUUCAUCCCAAUGUUUCUUAAUGAAUUGCUUUAGAAGAACAGCAGCUAAGUAGAAUCAAGUUAAAGUACACAAAUUAGAAAUAGAAAAGACAUGCAAAACCCUUAAAUACUUAGAAGCCAAAUUAAUUCAGCUCUGUCAACAGAUUAGUAGUGCAGUGCAUAUACUAAUCUGUCUGAGAUCUACAAAAAGAUAAUUCACUUCUAAAGAAGGAUAUCUGACGCAGCCCUGGUGAUAGCUCCCUGUUUGCAGCAACUUUGGAUAACGCACUUCCAAAGCCUUCAAAAAAGAUAAGCAAAGAAAAAUCAAUAUCUUGUCCUUACAAUCAUAAAAUACAUAGACUUCUUAAUCCAAUGGCACUCAUUCAUCUAAAGAAAAUAUUCCUGCCAUACAAAACCCCAGUUCUACGCAAACAGUGGAUUAAACUGCCUCAGAUGGUGAUGGAGAUUGUACAAAGUUUGUACAAUCAAAUCACUUCAAGUAUGUCACUUUGUUUAAGGGUUUGUUUAGGGAGCUAAACCAUAGAAAGGAAAAAAAAAAAUCAGUCUUGAGGGCCUUAAAUUAGGAAAAAGAAAUAAUGUGAUCAUCUGAAUUCAGUACAAGUGCCAGAUGGCAUGUGACAGGUGACAGGAUGACAGAAACGGUUUUGAACCCCUUUUUGUCUCAUUCUGAGUUGAUGACACUUCAACUUCAUCAAUUCAGAAUCCUCUUGAUACUAGAUACCAAAUAGAAACAUCUCAAAUUACUCAAACUGAAAUGUGACCAGUAACUGGAUGCUGUAAAAAUUAACAACCAAAGUAGUAACUGAACCAGCGAGCUGGGGCCACAAAUAAAGGCCUUUUCCUUGUUAAAUAUCUCUCAUUUUUAACAAAAAUUAAAACCUAAUAAACUUAGCAUUAGCUUUUUAUCUACAAAUACAAAUUUGACCUAAUGAAAAAGCCAUUUUUUCUCGCAAAAUAUCAAGAACCCAGAAUUCACUAGAAAGAUCAUUCAUUAUUACACUGACUGUACAAUAUUUCAUAAUGAGCUAAUGAAUUCACAAUAAAGUUCAUUCAUUUCAAGCGAGGCAGAUAAAAAGUGCAAUUUUCCAAAAUAUGGAAAACUCAGAACUGAAUUUAUAAUAAAGUUCAUUCAUUUCAGACACAAAAUCAGAAACAAUAAACAAUGCAUUGGAUUUUAGCUACAUAUAUAGGUUUGAGCAAAAAGAAAAAUAAACAUUUUCUUCACAAAAUGUUGAAAACCCAGAAUAAAAACCACAUAAAGUCCAUCCAAUUCCACCAUAAAUCCAAAAAAUAGUAAAUUUGGCACUCCAUUGUUGGGAAAUAUAUACAAUCUGAGCUAAUUUAAAAGAAUUUAUGUGAAUGAGAACCUGCUUGAAGGGAGACCUGGUGAAGAGAGGCUUCAGCAAGGGACCGGACUUUCUGAUCAGUAUCCAGAGUGGCAUUCAAGCAACUGAUGAGCCACUGCUGUUCUUGAUCCAUUUUUACUACUGAUGUAGGCAAAUGUGGUGGAUAUCUAUACAGCAAACUAUGUUCUUUUUUUCUUUUUUCUUUUUUUUUUUGGAGGGGAGAGUGGGAGGUGGGGAGGAGAUUAAGGGGUUUGGACCCUUUUCAGGAUUUGGAAUUCAGGGAGAGAUUAAGGGGAAAUGGGGGAAGAAAAAGAGGUGUGGGUUUUCCAAUUUGAGCAGUGAGCUAUGUACAACCUCAACUUAGCGGUUAGCAGGGCAUAGGGUUUUUGCGUUCGGAAGGUUUAAGAUUGGCCGGACCAGAAUCCCGGUUCAGCGGUGGACGCCUCAUAUUUCCGCGCCAAUUCAUUCGUUCUCACUUAUUUUCUUUCUCCCUUUUUUUUUUUGUUUUCAAAUAACUUCUUCUGAGGGUAAUUUCAAUUAGGCAGUUAAUUUUCACAAUGCUAUCAAGACAACGCGAUAAAAUGCAAGGCAAGACAAAAAGAAUAGGGAAAAGCUAGUAUAUAUUUUACAAAACGUUAUACCUUAUCCAAUUAAAUGUACUCUUACUUCUAAUAUUGUUUGAGUGCACGUAACUAUGAAAUCUAUAAUAUUUCAUCUAAUUGUAAUAAUUAAUAUUCGUAGUUACAUCCUUUAGAUUUUUAUUUUUAUUUUUUUUUGCAACCAUCAACACAUUAUUCAACACUUUAUUCUUGCUUUUGGUCACAAUUUUUUUAAAAAAAAUUAUUUUUUAAAAAAAAAAAGAAAAUUGUGUGUAAUAACUAUCACAAGCUAUAGCGUGUGAUUUGCAUAAUAAAGGUUGAGCUUGUUUAACUAUUUUUAUUCAUUUUUUCUUCAAGGCUUUUUUCAUUGAUAUAGAAUAACUUCUUUGUUUGGAUUGCCUCUUUCCAAAGGAAAAUUGCUACAUUUUUCGUAGAUACAUUUUUUAAUCAUCUUUUUACUUCACAUAUAUUAAAUCGUUACCGUAUAUUUUCUAUAAAAAGUUCAGAAAAAUACAAUCCAAACAAAGUAUUUUUCUUCCUUUAAAGCAUAUUUCCACUGAUGUGCAUAGAAAUCACUAUUCAAGACUUCAAGCUAGUCUAUUUUUCCCAGAUUGAUCAAGACUUUCUGAGCUAUCCUCUUAGAAGAAAUACUUUGGUAGUGCUUGAUCAGCUGUUCAGUCAUUUUUACUCCAGACAAUGAUUUGAAAAUGGAAAAAUGGUAGUGCUGGAAAAACACUACUACUAGUAUGAGAGGAAUAGAGGAGUAGAUAGAAACAGAAUAAAGAAGGAAUGUUUACAUGCUAAUAAUUAAACCGGAUGACUUCAUAAGCCCAAGAAGCAUUAAACUCCUCAAAUAGCUGAAGAAACCAUUAUUGUCAAUAGUCGAAAUGACCUAUAAAACAAGAAAUUCACAGAAAUCUAAAUUUGGCUGCCUAUUAAUCUUCCUGAUCACAAAAGUUGUUGAUGAAGUUAUUCCCAUUUGCUCUUAAUUUGAUCGUCAUGCAAGAAAUGAUAUUCCAUUACCAAAGUCCCAUCCAUUCUCCUCAAAACAAACCUUUCAACCAAAACAUAGAGGCCAAAUUCUCUCCAUUCAUCACUUUUCUUGAACUCCUGUGCCCUUGUGAUCCUCACCUGUCUAUUCUUCCCACUUCUCCAUCCUUCUCUUUCUUGCUCCCAUUUCAUUCUUUCCACAAUUUCUGGACUCAAACCAACCCUUCUUUUGGCUCCUCCUCCAUCAGAAAAUCCGAACCAUAUUGCCCCCUCAUCUACAAUUCCCUCGUCCCAUUCAGCCUUAAAACCACCAACAUAGACAGCUUCGUUUUCAAGAACAACAUCCACAGUUAACUGUUUUCCUUCAUUAUCUUCUUUGUUAGAGUUAGAGCAAGAGAAAAUCUUCUUCCACUGUUGCUCCAAUGUCAUCACGUAAAACAUUGAAUUCGACAUCUGAUAUCUCCGCAUAAUGGUGCCUUCUCUAACAAACAUGAAAGGACAGUACCACUUCCCAACGACAAGAGUUUGAGAUUCCUCACAUUUCAGGGGGAAAUCGAAUCGCGGCAUGCAGGCUCGAAGAGCUUUAUCAAGGCCUGGAGCUUCAUCUAACAUAAAUUCUGUCGAAAGGCGAGCUUUCCAGCCAACUUCGUUAAUCCUCCUCAAUGGUUCAGGAGGAAAACCACCAUCCACAGUAGAUAAUCCGGCAAAAUAACGACCAGAUCUUUUAACAAUUUUGAACUGUUGAUAAACGCUGCUUGGAUCCAGUGGCCUUGGUCUUACAUCUUCGAUACAGCAUGUGUUAUUGCAGCUUAAUUCCUUUGAGCAAGUUAAAGCUUCCCUGAAUACGCAAUUUUGGAUUUUACAAAAAAAGGUUAGAAUGUGCCUAAUGCAAAACUCUAUAUUUAAGUAACAAAACUAAAAAGUUCCAAUUACCGAAGAUAAUCCAACAAACCAAACAAUACUAGAAUUUUCUUAUAAUUCCUCCACCUCUUCUUUGACCCCCAUCAAGUUCAUCUAAAAAUAAGAACAUCGUAGAAACCAUGGAAGUAGAACAAAGUAAUUAACUCAAGAAACUGGUGCUAGAAAAGAUUGUUACAAUGUAGUAGUAUAGUACCCUGAAAAAGGUUCAUCCCGAGAUAUGACAUAGUAGAGAUUUGAAGAAAGCGGCUGGUUAAGAACUGGGAUGAACAUAAGAUGAUCGUACACAUUUCUGUAAUAUCUGUCACCAUUUGAGUAGGUUACUACUCUCACUAUAGUCUUAAUGGUUAGACUAUAAUUCUGCGGAAAAGGCAGGUCCCUUACACGGUCAUUAUCAAAUGAACACAAUCCAAAACAGCAAGUUUCAACCUUUCUAUCUUGAAUUACUAGGAAACCUGAAUGUGGCCCUUCAGGAAGUGAUGAAAGGGAGUCUGGAGAGUUCUUGAAGAAAGAUUUAGGCCUUGUUACAUACAUGAUGGCGUACCAAUCGCAAAAAGGUUUGCUGUACUAACAAGCUUGAUGACAGAGAAAUAAAAGUACUGAUCAGAUGACUAAAGAAAGGGUUUUCUAUGAUUACUGGGGAUUUUGAGAAUCAAAUCAGCACCAAAAUUUCAGGGAAUUUGAGGAUAAACUUUGAGGAGAUCAAAAUAUCACUUAUCCAUCGUGACUAACGUCCCAAGAGUCCCGCAAGCGGAACAAAAGCCUACAGAAUAGGAAUGGCAACUGAUUCGUUAUAUUCUAUUUGGUGCAGCUCUUCUUCUUUCCCUUACCAUCACGCCUGCCUGCAGAAUAGUGAAAACAGUUCGUUGCAUUGUGAUGUCGUAACCUUCGUCGGUUUGAUUGGGUGAUUCUUAGUAAGGCUACUGCGAUUUGAUAAUUUGGAUAUGUCUAAUGAGAUUGAGACUUUGCAUAGAGGACCAAAAAAUUCAUAGACAGAAUCUGUAGACUUGCAAAAAUAUUUUCCGGCAAACGGCAGCCAGUAACAAACAACACAUCAUGGAUACUUUCCGGUGAUCUACCACUGAAUGCUAUUAAUUCCUGGUAUUCCUAUUCCAUUAUCCAUGGAGAGUAACACUAGAAUCAGUACCAUGUCUGGUGAGGAUGAUUGAAAUAGUAUGUUAUUACAAACUUCCAUCCAUUCUGUUCAGUAUAAAACAUUCAAUGAAACACAGCACCAAGUUCUCUCCACUCAGGCACCCUGAGAAUUUUGCAUUAAUCUGCAGUUGUGGUAUGAAUACUAAUGAAUUCUAUCUGCCUGCUCAGUACUAACGCUGCCACAGUUAAAGUUCUGCUUUGGAAAGAAAAUUAAGAGUCCUAAUCGAAUGUGGCAAUUAUUAUGCUCAAUCUUUGUUUUUCAACUUUCUUCAGCCCAUUAUUGAUGAUUCGAGGUGGAAAAUGAUGGGUCAUGCCAAAGUUUUGCCUGGUUUCAAUCUAGAAAUUGAGCAAAAUAGAAUUUUCUAGACAAGCACCGGGGAAACAUUGAAUUGUUUUAUACAAACCUCAGCAACGUGGCCGAAGAGUAUUACUGAUUACAAACAUGUAAAAGGACAUUUUGCUUGGACAGAUGGGAUUUCAAGAAAACAAACUAGAAUCAUGGAUAAGUUUGUAGUACAUAAUUAAGAAAUGCUAUUACUCCCUGGUUGCUCCUUAAACAUAGUACUAGACUCUUAUCCCACCUCCAUUUUAUCUGGUGAGAGUGUAGGAGAUCAUAUGGCACCAGCAAACUUCCAUCCAUUCUCUUUAACACAAAACUUUCUACCAAGAUAGAGCAACCAAAUUCUCUCCAAUCACCCUUGUCCCCAAAAUUUUCUUUCCUCUCAACUCUCACUUGCCUUCCUUUCCCACCUAACAUUCCAGAUCUUCCUUGCUCGCAUUUCAUUCUUUGAACUAACUCCACACUCAGACCUACAUUUGCUUCUUCUCCACCUCUAUUGAUGCUCCUAAACCAUAUCUUUCCUUCAACUACAUUUCUCUCAACUAGUUAAGUAAAUAUUAUAAUUUCAUCCCACAUAUUUUUGCACAUCUUGAUUAAUCGCCAUAACGGUAGAUGCUUUCCAUGUAUUUUCCAUUUUAGAUAAAAACUAGAUUUAUGUGGAUAUUUUGAAAGCUUAUGAGAUUGUAUUAUUAUGCACAAGCACAGAGGGUUGAGACAUUUACCCAAAACAAAGUAUACCUUAGUUUUGUCAUCUUUACCAGCAUGGAGAACCUUCCCUCCCUCAGUUAUGGAGUCAGGAUCAUAGCUACUAGAGAAUCAAGCAGUUGGACUGUUUUUUUCCGGAACUGCUCUUCUGAUAUUUCGAGAUCAAAAUCUAUGGACCAAGACACCAGGCAAAGUAAAUUUUGAUGCAGCAAAUUUGCGAAAUGAUUUAAUUUGACAUUUAGUUGGAAAGUUAACAAAAGAUUACAAUAUAACGUUACACAUUGUUUAGCUCCUAAGGUCACCUGGUAAAGAAUUAGUCUUUCCAUUUUGGGCUAAACCAAACCACAUUUUUUAUUCAGACGACGUUUUUUAUUCACACACUAAUCAAAUAUCAAAGGAGGAUAACUUAGCAGAGUCUCUUGCACCAUGGUUGAGGUUCUCCAGACCACAUCUUUAUUGCCCGUUAGUCAUUGGCUAAUCCACCUAGCUUAGUAUUAUUGGUAGCACGACAGAAACAAUUUCAGGCAAAGUUUGACAGUUGCUGUUUUACAUCUAUCAUCAAGUUGCCAAGAGUUGCUGGAAUGGUCUUUUGGGCCCUAAAAACAUUCAUUUAAACCACAACAGAGUCUACUAUGCAAGGUAAUAUCCAGAAUGCACUAUUGGAUGAGCAAAUAUAAUCAAUUUAUUCCAUGAAACAGAAAAUGCUAGAGAAGUAACCUUGAAAUACUGACAUUUUAUAUGGACCUCAAUAACCACAUACUUACAUAUAUAUUUACGGAUAUUUUUGUCUUACAAGCAGUGUGUGGAGAAAACAAACCAAAAUUAAGGAUGAAACCAACGCAAAUCAAGAAAACAAAUCAAAAUCUAGGAUAAGUCUAUGGU
rnacentral:lncRNA from 1 species